rnacentral:rRNA from 1 species
CAUAGCAACACAACAACAAAUACCUCACACAACAACUAACUCCUAAUAAAACAUUGAGCUAAACUAUAAUUAUAGUUAAACUUCUGCUAAAACUAGUAACAAGAAACCCUCUCUCUGCACCCCUGUAACCCAGAAAUAGAAAAACUACUGGAUUUUAACAGACCAAAAUAGGCACAACACAACUCAUUGUACUAACCACUGUUAAACCAACACCGGAGUGCCAUCAAGACAGAUUUAAAGUUGUAUAAGGAACUCGGCAAAAUUUAUCCCAACUGUUUACCAAAAACAUAGCCUUUAGCAAUAUAAGUAUUAAAGGUCCCGCCUGCCCAGUGAAAACAUCUUCAACGGCCGCGGUAUUCUAACCGUGCAAAGGUAGCGUAAUCACU